rnacentral:rRNA from 1 species
UUAAGUUGGGGACUCUAGCGAGACUGCCAGUGAUAAACUGGAGGAAGGUGGGGAUGACGUCAAAUCAUCAUGCCCCUUAUGACCUGGGCUACCAAACGUGAUACAAUGGCUGAAACAAAGGGCAGCGAAGCAGUGAUGUGGAGCGAAACCCAAAAAGCAGUCUCAGUUCGGAUUGAAGUCUGCAACUCGACUUCAUGAAGUUGGAAUCGCUAGUAAUCGUAGAUCAGAACGCUACGGUGAAUACGUUCUCGGGUUU